CCUGGUUGAUUCUGCCAGUAGUCAUAUGCUUGUCUCAAAGAUUAAGCCAUGCAUGUCUAAGUAUAAGCAAUUAUACCGCGAAACUGCGAAUGGCUCAUUAAAUCAGUUAUCGUCUAUUUGAUAGUACCUUACUACUUGGAUAACCGUGGUAUUCUAGAGCUAAUACAUGCUGAAAACCCCGACUUCGGAAGGGAUGUAUUUAUUAGAUUAAAAACCAAUGCCCUCCGGGGCUCCCUGGUGAUUCAUAAUAACUGCUCGAAUCGCACGGCCUUGCGCCGGCGAUGGUUCAUUCAAAUUUCUGCCCUAUCAACUUUCGACGGCUGGGUCUUGGCCAGCCAUGGUGACAACGGGUAACGGAGGGUUAGGGCUCGACCCCGGAGAAGGAGCCUGAGAAACGGCUACUACAUCCAAGGAAGGCAGCAGGCGCGCAAAUUACCCAAUCCCGACGCGGGGAGGUAGUGACAAUAAAUACUGAUACAGGGCUCUUUUGGGUCUUGUAAUUGGAAUGAGUACAAUUUAAUUCCCUUAACGAGGACAAUUGGAGGGCAAGUCUGGUGCAGCAGCCGCGGUAAUUCCAGCUCCAAUAGCGUAUAUUAAAGUUGUUGCAGUUAAAAAGCUGUAGUUGAAACCUGGGCCUGGCUGGCCGGUCCGCCUCACCGCGUGCACUGGUCCGGCCGGGCCUUCCCUCUGGGGAGCCGCAUGCCCUUCAUGGGCGUGCCGGGGAACAGGACGUUUACUUGAAAAAAUUAGAGUGUUCAAAGCAGGCUUAUGCUCGGAUACAUUAGCAUGGAAUAAUAGAUAGGACGCGCGGUUCUAUUUUGUUGGUUUCUAGGACCGCCGUAAUGAUUAAUAGGGACAGUCGGGGGCAUCAGUAUUCAAUUGUAGAGGUGAAAUUCUUGGAUCUAUGAAGACUAACUACUGCGAAGCAUUUGCCAAGGAUGUUUUCAUUAAUCAGGAACGAAGUUAGGGGAUCGAAGACGAUCAGAUACCGUCGUAGUCUUAACCAUAAACUAUGCGACUAGGGAUCGGACGGUGUUAUUUUUUGACCCGUUCGGCACCUUACACGAAAGUACAAGUUUCUGGGUUCUGGGGAGUAUGGUCGCAAGCUGAAACUUAAAGAAAUUGACGGAAGGGACACCAGGGGUAAACACUUGAUUGUUUCGCCGCAGUUAACUCUGCCCGGAAAGCCGCCCGAAAGGGUCGGUGGUGCCCCGCUGGCUAGUCGACGCCCCCGCCGGGGGGCGGGCGACAUCUCAAAGUGCGGGGAACCCUAAAGCUCUGCUCCAAGCGGCCCGCGAAAGAGCCGGUGGCCAGGCGAAAGGCCUCGGUACUGGAACAACGCAGGAGAUGCUACAAUGGGCG
rnacentral:rRNA from 1 species